rnacentral:rRNA from 1 species
GAACGAACGCUGGCGGCAUGCCUAACACAUGCAAGUCGAACGAGACCUUCGGGUCUAGUGGCGCACGGGUGCGUAACGCGUGGGAACCUGCCCUUAGGUUCGGAAUAACUCCCCGAAAGGGGUGCUAAUACCGGAUAAUGUCUUCGGACCAAAGAUUUAUCGCCUUUGGAUGGGCCCGCGUUGGAUUAGCUAGUUGGUAGGGUAAAAGCCUACCAAGGCGACGAUCCAUAGCUGGUCUGAGAGGAUGAUCAGCCACACUGGGACUGAGACACGGCCCAGACUCCUACGGGAGGCAGCAGUGGGGAAUAUUGGACAAUGGGCGAAAGCCUGAUCCAGCAAUGCCGCGUGAGUGAUGAAGGCCUUAGGGUUGUAAAGCUCUUUUACCCGGGAUGAUAAUGACAGUACCGGGAGAAUAAGCUCCGGCCAACUCCGUG